GACGAACGCUGGCGGCGUGCUUAACACAUGCAAGUCGAACGAUGAAGCUAGAGCUUGCUCUGGUGAAUUAGUGGCGAACGGGUGAGUAACACGUGAGUAACCUGCCCCGAACUCUGGGAUAACUGCUGGAAACGGUAGCUAAUACUGGAUACGACCUACGAAGGCAUCUUCUGUAGGUGGAAAGAAUUUCGGUUCGGGAUGGACUCGCGGCCUAUCAGCUUGUUGGUGAGGUAAUGGCUCACCAAGGCGACGACGGUUACGCGGCCUGAGAGGGUGACCAGCAACACUGGGACUGAGACGCGGCCCAGACUCCUACGGGAGGCAGCAGUGGGGAAUAUUGCACAAUGGGCGCAAUCCUGAUGCAGCAACGCCGCGUGAGGGAUGACGGCCUUCGGGUUGUAAACCUCUUUUAGUAGGGAAGAAGCGAAAGUGACGGUACCUGCAGAAAAAGCACCGGCUAACUACGUGCCAGCCGCCGCGGUAA
rnacentral:rRNA from 1 species